rnacentral:tRNA from 4 species
GCGCGAGUGAUGAAAUUGGUAGACAUUGGGGAUUUAAAAUCCCCUGCCUUUUGGCGUGCGGGUUCGAGUCCCGCCUCGCGCACCA